GGUUUGAAAUGAGAUUGCUUUCCUAACUACCUGUGGGGCCACCCAUGAGUCAAUAUUUCAUUACUCCUCAGACAAUUCCUGGAAAGACUUUCUGGACAGAUGACCCAAAAAUUGACACCUGAGCUACCUGAACAACUGCCUGUGAAAGCAUAUUUCUUCUGUGCUUUGAGGAAGAGCUUGUGAAGCUGAGAGCCCUGUUGCUCCAUUUCAGGCUAGCUCUUGAAAAGGGGAGAAAGGGGAAGCAUGCCUGGUUCCAUCAGUGUACCUCUCCUUGUUGUGUCCUCUUGAGCUCCACCUUUU
rnacentral:lncRNA from 1 species